CCUACGGGAGGCAGCAGUGGGGAAUUUUGGACAAUGGGCGCAAGCCUGAUCCAGCAAUGCCGCGUGCAGGAUGAAGGCCUUCGGGUUGUAAACUGCUUUUGUACGGAACGAAACGGUGAGCUCUAAUACAGUUUGCUAAUGACGGUACCGUAAGAAUAAGCACCGGCUAACUACGUGCCAGCAGCCGCGGUAAUACGUAGGGUGCGAGCGUUAAUCGGAAUUACUGGGCGUAAAGCGUGCGCAGGCGGUGAUGUAAGACAGAUGUGAAAUGCCCGGGCUCAACCUGGGACCUGCAUUGUGACUGCAUCGCUAGAGUACGGUAGAGGGGGAUGGAAUUCCGCGUGUAGCAGUGAAAUGCGUAGAUAUGCGGAGGAACACCGAUGGCGAAGGCAACCCCCUGGACCUGUACUGACGCUCAUGCACGGAAGCGUGGGGAGCAAACAGGAUUAGAUACCCUGGUAGUCCACGCCCUAAACGAUGUCAACUGGUUGUUGGGUCUUCACUGACUCAGUAACGAAGCUAACGCGNGAGUGUAACGCCGUGGAGGACGGCGCGAGUAGAAGUUAAGUUAGAGUUAGAGNGNGAGAGNGCGAGNGACGACGAGGAGGAGG
rnacentral:rRNA from 1 species